CCAUUUCAGCGUUUUACCCCCAUUUCAGCGUUUUACCCCCAUUUCAGCGUUUUACCCCCAUUUCAGUUUCCGCUUUCAGUUUCCGUUUCCGCGAUUCAGUUUCAGCGUUUUAUCCCUACCCAAUUUAAGUACUACUACUAAAUUCUAACCAAAUUGCAAAUUUCGACACGUUAUAAUGCCGUUUCCUGACCAUCAGAUUCUGUCAAAUCUCCCCAAAGUCCAGGAAAUGGCAUUUCAGAGACUCUAAAUUCAAAAAUAUUCCUGGGGGGCAUGCCCCCGGACCCCCCUAGACAAACCUCGCACCUGCGGCGCUCGGCUCGUGCCUUCGGCCCUCGUUUAUCAAGCGUAAAAUUAUAGGGGCGCGGAUUGGUUGACAGCCAACUGCCCCCCCCCCAGAAAAAUAGUACCCAGCACGCCACUGCAUUCCCAUAUUUUGUAUCCGCUGCGUGGGCAUGAAUUGCAACUGGCUAUUGUUUUUGUAAUUGAAAUUUCGAGAGACCUAUUUUUGGCCUAGAAUUUAUGAUUG